AGAGAAGUACCCAAGAGGCUCAAGGGGCUCCCCUGCUAAGGGAGUAGGUCGCUAACGCGGCGCGAGGGUUCGAAUCCCUUCUUCUCUG
rfam:Bacillus cereus subsp. cytotoxis NVH 391-98, complete genome.